AAAUUACAAGUUACUUGAACAUAAAUAUUAAAUAUAGACAAAUUAGCCAUUUGUCCAUGUUUUGGUUAAAAGUUUAUUUUACACAUCGAAUUUUGUAUUGAUAGAGUAAAAAGUAAAGCACUAUAUCGGAUUUUAAUAAGCGACAUUCAGGUACAAAAUAUAAAAAAAGAAAAUAUAAAAAAGAAGCUGAACUUGAAAAACAGUCAGAUUCAAUUAAAAAAAUGUUGACAGGUUUUUCCUCUUCUUUAGGUAAUUCAAAUGUUGUAGUCGUAGUACAAACCAGUGAAUAUGGCCGAAAACGUAUAAUUAAAAGUAAGUGACUACUCGGACGACGGUCUCGAAUCGCCGCAUGAGCACCUGCGUGCAACCAACUAACCAUUAAUGCGUUUUUCAUUACGAAAAAACCAUGCGCUGUGCACGUGGUCGGACGCGUCGCCGGGACCGUACCGAACAGAAUGUACAUGAUCAUGGACUUACUACCCGGACGGCACGCUAUGGAACUAUUCCGCGGAAGUGAAUCACACGGCCGGUGGCGUACGAGUGGUUCUCGCAGUUGUGCUCGGCAUCGGUUAGGUUAGGCACCGGGACGUCAAGAUGGAGAAGGUGUUGCUGAACCGGCGGAAGAAUAUCCGGUUGGCCGUCUUCGAGUGUGCAUGGUCGUCAAAACGCCGCGGUUAGGUUAGGCGCGCCGUCGACGGCGUCGCAACCGUCAGGCCGUCAACCUGUCCGCGUGCGGCACCCUGAUGUACAUGUCGCCGGAACGUUUGUCCAGCGUCCCGUACAACGCGCAGCUGGCCUACGUGUGGGCCGCCUCGGGUACUGCUUUUCCGUCUGGUCGUCGGCCGGUUUCCGUUCAUGUACCAGAAAUCUUCUGCGAAUGACGUAGAUUCACUGAUAUUGGAAAGUCAGAAAAAUGGAUACGCCUUUAAUACAGAUGAAAGACAACGUAUAUUAGUCGAGUUUUUCAGAAUUUUAGAUUUUCAGAAAAAAUGUUGGUAAAUGAAUCGGAUAGAGAAGAAAUUAAAAAUCUUUAAAAAAGAUAAUUGGAUGGUUAAAGGAGCACAAAACUCCAAAAAUUAUUUUUUUUUAAUUUAGUAGUGUAUUCAAUUUUAUGAAACAUGGAUUGAUAAAACGUUUAUACUAAAAUAAUUGAAUGAUUUAUGCAGAAUAAUUAAAAUAUGACGCACGACGUUACCGGGCUCUACUUGUAACAAUAGCCAAUUUUACGUCGCUAAUUCAAACGACUUCAGUUAAUCCUAAGUUUAUACGAGGUAUAUCAGAAAAUAAUUUCUUAGUGGCCAACAAUUCAACGAUGACGACAAGAUAAAAGAAGAUGUAAUCAUUCGUAGUUGUAAUCAAAGGUAGCAUCUUUCUAUGAUGAAGGAAUACAAAAACUAGUGCUCCGUCAUAAGUGCAUAAAUAAAAUCAUUUUUAUACAUAUGUUUUACUUACUCGUACUUUUAUUAUCCGACAGAACUUACUUUCUGGUCAUACACUGUACAAAUAAUUUAAUAUUCAAAUUAUGUUGUAAGGGUCCGAUAAAGUCACAAAGCUACUCAUGGAGUAUUAAAAUCUUCAAAGUAUUAAUAUUUUUUGUAUUAUUGUUUUACCAACCUAUUUCUUAUAAUCAUGACAACAUUAUUGUCCCAAUUAUCAAAAACAAAACAUAAUUAUAUCAGUUGUGUGCUCCUUUAAGAUGUCAGUAAAUAUUUUAGUUCCGUUUUCUUUAUAGUUUA